UAUCCGGGAGAUCCUUCAAAAUUCGAGGACAGAGACUAUUUGAUGUCGAUCCGAUAUCCUGCUGGUCUUGCGCAACUAUAUCCUUAGACUGACGGCAUAUGUUCUAUUUUUCACAGCAAGUUCAAAUCAUGCCGCCUUUGAGACAGGUAUUUUGUUCGUGUCGCAUUCAGAGUGAAGGCUGACAAUGGAUUUGUUACGCUGCUUGCACUCGCUGUGGAUUCCAUUACUUCUAUGCACGUUCCCUCCGUCUGUACGGCAAGCGAUAUGUUUAAGUGCUAGUGAGCAAGCAUCGUUACUUGGAAAAUAUACAGUGAAGACAGUCUGACUGCUCGUGACAGUGGAGACAACGUUCUACGUUAUGACUGAGCUAUGACUGAGUGGGCCUCUUGACAACUGAGCUCAUGGAGAGUCUUUUUUAAAUGGUGUUUCGCCAUCUUCCGUUCCUUGCCACCUGGGGAAAACCAGAUGGUGCUGUCAAGACUGGAGCAUAUGUGAAGGGAGCUGACUCGUGAAGUCUGCAACCUUUUGGCUAUAAUGGCCUCAGAUGAAGAGCAGCACGGGAAUUUUUUGGAAUCCAAUCAUUGGAACCAACCAAUGUAUAAUCCAAGAGUCGAACAGCACUGCGCAUGCUGAGCUUCUCGGUUUGCUCCAGGAAAUCCUAGUGAAACUCUCUCCACACACGUUAACGCCUACCCAGUAAGUCUUUCUCCACCUUUUUCGCUUUCUUGUUUUCGGACAGGUUUCAGCACAUAAAGAAUCUACUCUUGGCGGCUUGAGGGGACACGGUCUCGUGCAACACUCUCGUCUCAAGCCUGUGUAGAUUCGAGCAGCAAGACACGGUGCUCCACCUCUUCAAAGUCAUGGACUUGUAAAACAACCUCCGGAGCCGAAAACAAGUUCUGUCCUCCAUGCCGGCGUUUACCGCAGCACUGCAGGAAAUGCGAGUGUUUGCUGGCGUCUCUGGACCUCUGCUCCUCUCGAACUGGGAAGGCAAGCUUGCAAGAUUGCGGACAGGACAAAGAUAGCGUUUUCUUUCUCGUUAGCGGCUUCUAGUUAAUGUAAUCAGCACAGGGCUUCUCUGAGUGAUUGCCCAAGCGUAUCACAUAUGUAAAUUUUUGUCUCUGUUCUUGUUA